rnacentral:rRNA from 1 species
GCAAGUCGAACGGCAGCACGGGGGCAACCCUGGUGGCGAGUGGCGAACGGGUGAGGAAUACAUCGGAACGUGUCUUUAAGUGGGGGAUAACGCAUCGAAAGGUGUGCUAAUACCGCAUAAUCUCUGAGGAGAAAAGCAGGGGAUCGCAAGACCUUGCGCUUUUGGAGCGGCCGAUGCCUGAUUAGCUUGUUGGUAAGGUAAAAGCUUACCAAGGCGACGAUCCAUAGCUGGUCUGAGAGGAUGAUC